rnacentral:rRNA from 1 species
CAUGGCUCAGAGCGAACGUGACCGGCGGGUUAACACAUGCAAGUCGAACGAGAAAAGGGACUUCGGUCCCUGAGUAAAGUGGCGGACGGGUGCGUAACACGUGGGCAAUCUACCUUCCGGCGGGGGAUAACGAUUCGAAAGGAUCGCUAAUACCGCGUACGUCGACGAGGACUCCGGUCUUUGUCGGGAAAGACGGCCUCUUCUUGAAAGCUGUCACCGGAAGAUGAGCCCGCGCCCCAUCAGCUAGUUGGCGAGGUAAUGGCUCACCAAGCAUAGACGGGUAGCUGGUCUGAGAGGAUGAUCAGCCACACUGGGACUGCGACACGGCCCAGACUCCUACGGGAGGCAGCAGUGGGGAAUAUUGGGCAAUGGGCGAAAGCCUGACCCAGCCACGCCGCGUGAGUGAUGAAGGCCUUCGGGUCGUAAAGCUCUGUGGGGAGGGACGAAAAAGCGAGGAGAUAAUACCUCUCGUAUGACGGUACCUCCUUAGCAAGCACCGGCUACCCUGUGCCAGCAGCCGCGGUAAUACAGGGGUGCAAACGUGCUCGGAAUAUGGGCGUAAAGCGCGCGUAGGCGGCUAUCUAAGUCGGAUGUGAAGCCCUCGGCUCACUGAGGAAGUGCACCCGAAACUGGAUAGCUAGAGUACAAAGAGGAUCGCGAAUCCCGGUGUACAGGUGAAUUCGUAAUUCGGGAGGACACAUGCGAAGGCGGCGGAUCCUGGCGUGGAACUGACGCUGAGGCGCGAAAAGCUGUGGGAGCAACCGGAUUAGAUACUGGGUAGUCAACAACCGUUAACCGA